rnacentral:rRNA from 1 species
GAUGAACGCUGGCGGCGUGCCUAAUACAUGCAAGUCGAGCGAACAGACGAGGAGCUUGCUCCUCUGACGUUAGCGGCGGACGGGUGAGUAACACGUGGAUAACCUACCUAUAAGACUGGGAUAACUUCAGGAAACCGGAGCUAAUACCGGAUAAUAUAUUGAACCGCAUGGUUCAAUAGUGAAAGACGGUUUUGCUGUCACUUAUAGAUGGAUCCGCGCCGCAUUAGCUAGUUGGUAAGGUAACGGCUUACCAAGGCAACGAUGCGUAGCCGACCUGAGAGGGUGAUCGGCCACACUGGAACUGAGACACGGUCCAGACUCCUACGGGAGGCAGCAGUAGGGAAUCUUCCGCAAUGGGCGAAAGCCUGACGGAGCAACGCCGCGUGAGUGAUGAGGGUCUUCGGAUCGUAAAACUCUGUUAUUAGGGAAGAACAAAUGUGUAAGUAACUAUGCACGUCUUGACGGUACCUAAUCAGAAAGCCACGGCUAACUACGUG